AUGGGAUUUAGAGAUAUCCAUUGCUUUAAUCUAGCAUUGCUGGCUAAGCAAGCAUGGCAUUUGAUUGUUGAUCCUAAUUCGGUAUGCCCUAUUAUCCUUCGAGCAAAGUACUUCCCCGAUGGAGAUUUGUUCAAGGCUACUUUGAAGAAAAAAACUUCGUACACCUGGCAAAGCAUAAUGGCAGGAGUGGAAACCUUAAAGAGAGGUUACAUAUGGAGAAUAGGUGACAGAACCAAUAUUCGGGAUGAUCCGUGGAUACCCCAAUCAUCGUCUAUAAUUUUUUUGACAGUUCAUGGAAGUAAUAUCAUCUCGAGAGUGAGUGCUCUUAUUGAUCCUUCCACGAGGGAUUGGGACGAGCAGCUGGUACAACAGACCUUCUGGCCUCUAGAUGCCCGCAUGAUCUUGUCUAUCCCACUCCUGCUACAUGAGAUGGAAGACUUUGUGGCAUGGAAUCCGUCAAGAAACAAAAAAAAUUCCGUCAGGUCGGGUUAUUGCGCUGAGUGGGAAUUCUAG
rnacentral:rRNA from 1 species